AAGGAAGGCGGACAAAGAAAUUGGUAUCGUAUCCCUCUUUCUCUCUCUCUCACUGUCUCUGUGUGUCCUUGUUCUUCUUCUUCUUUAAAUAUAUGAAUAUGCAUCAAAUUGAGGUUAAGGAUUGUGAUUUGACCUAAGAAAGCUUCUUCUUUUAUUUUUACAGAAAUAUAACUUUAUUUAUUCCUUUGGUUGAUUGAGUUAGGAAAAAAAUUUGUUGCAUAAAUGACAAAUAACAACCCCCUUUUCUUUUAAUUAAUUAAUUUUUUUAAUACUUAAGCAUAUAAUCAUGAAAUAUUUGUUACUAAUAUCAUGAAAGUAUAGCUUUUUUAAUCUUAUUUUCCUCCUUU
rnacentral:misc_RNA from 1 species